rnacentral:lncRNA from 1 species
UGUUUACCAAAUGAGUCACUUUCAGAACGAGUCCAAGAGCAAACUGGGCUUGACAGUUGCAUCCCAGUUCAUUCUGCUCCUUCUCUUCCUUUACGGGCUUGCCGAGUUUCUGAACAGCAGCUACACUUUGCUGAAUCCCCAUAUCCGAAUGGAAUAUUUCAGUAUGGAUUGAUCUACUGGUGAUGCAAUCAUCUCAAGUCAUGUGACAGUUUCCUCUGAAUUGAAAGGUAUUACAAAGCUAUUCCUGUGGAAACAAAGCCUGUCACUCAAAGAUCUGGGUUAGUUAAUUCCUUGUGCAGGAGACAAGUGAUAGAAGAUGACACCAGAGAAUGUGUAAGGGACCAGGGAGAAGCACACGAGACAAGAAAAAGCUUUCUGCUUCUUUAUCUGACCGCCAUUUGAGGAACUGUGCCAAAAGAACCCUCUGAAGCUGUGAGCCCAAAUAACACUCUCCCUUAACUUGCAUCUGUCUGGUGUUUUUGCUGAAACAGGAGGAGCAGCUAAUGCAAUCGAUGUAAAACAAAUGUGAACCAAGCUGCUGCCAGUGGGACAACUGACCAAACCUGACAUGAAGUCUGCAUUAGAUGGCAUGCCAGCUAUUGUUCACAGAGUCUCUUUUCAGAAUCUCAAGAAGCAGAAAAUGGAACAGAAACCAUAAAAUAGGAGUCUGGACUUGAAAGCCUUCCCUGGACAGCGUUUUCAGUGUGUGAUUGUAGGCAAUCACAGUGGAGUGUCGGACAGCAGUUCUCAAGAGUGGGAACCUGUGACCCGCUGAAGUGGAAAUUCUGCGGUGGGCUCAGCAGUUUGUUUGACAAGCCCUGCAGGUGCUGCUGCAGCCUGCUGAAGUUGAAGAACAGCUGACUGAGGGCAUCCAGUUG